GAUGUGAUCCAAGAAACCAUAAUUUAACAAUAUGUUAAAACAAUUGACAGAGGAAAAGCAAAAAGCUCAUGAUGCCCUUUAAUGCCAUCUCCCUUGCUUUUGAGGGGAAUGAUAAUCUGGGAUCCAAAACACGGACUAGUGCGCGAACCCCACCUUCUUUGACAAUUAUUUGCCUAAUUGAUUCAUCUCCUGAGGCCAUUGUUAGAAGAAUAUCAAUUGAACUUAUUUUGUGAAACUGCAGCACCAUCUCUAGACCGUAUCAGCUUGAUAAAGACAGAUAUUGCUCCUUCUUCAACCAUGAAUUUCUUGAUUUCUCUACUCCAACAAGAUUUUUCAACACCCCACAAGCCAAUCCUACUAAUUCACCAGAAUUAUCUCCAUUAUUGCAUAUUUUCAUCAGGGCAGUAACCCCACCAUGAGCUGAAAUUGACCACGCGUUAUCUGAAUUCUCAGUCAAUUUCUGCAGACACCUUGCAGCAAAUUCUUUACUCGAUUCACUCCAACUUUCCAAAACUCUGAUCAGUGGAGCAAUUAUCCCGCACCAACCAAUACUCCCCUGUAAGCCUGAAACCCUGCAAUCACAGAAACUGCUUUUGCAGCCUCUUCUUGAAUUUCAGUCUCAUGUGAAUCAAGAAAAUUCACUAGAAGACCGACAAAAUUCUCGAUUUCCACCGCAAUCUUGACAUAUUUGUCAUCUUCUUGAAUGACUUCAUUGAAGGAAAUCAAAGCUUGUACCUUCAUAUCUGCAGAACCAAUCUUGAGUCUUGACAAUAAGUCCUUCACAUACAGCUUCAUGUCAUCUUUCGAAGCUCCAAGAUUCGGCCUUGAUAAAACUAUUGCAUAAUUCUGAGUAAGCAAUCCAAGAGUGUAAAUAUCAGAGAGACUUUUAGUAUAAUCGCUCAAUCUUGCACAAACUAUAUCAAGAUCACUCUGCAUGAGCAGCUUCCCACUAAAGGAUAGCCUCAAACAGCUCUUUGCAAGAUCAUCACAAUCCUUAGAGCAUGAAAUAUGGCCUUGAGAGUGCUAACAAGUGAAGGGUUGUCAAUAGAAUCACAGUUUUCUAUAACCGUGAGGCUGGAAAGAAGUUCUUCAAGCCUGUCGCGAAUAGAUUGCCAUUUUCCAGCAAAAACUUUUAUGGAAUGAGAGAUAGAAAUCAGUGAAGAUAUGACCUGAAUUGCAUGCUCAAU
rnacentral:lncRNA from 1 species